rnacentral:rRNA from 1 species
UACGUAGGGUGCGAGCGUUAAUCGGAAUAACUGGGCGUAAAGCGUGCGCAGGCGGUUGUGCAAGACAGAUGUGAAAUCCCCGGGCUUAACCUGGGAACUGCAUUUGUGACUGCACAGCUGGAGUGCGGCAGAGGGGGAUGGAAUUCCGCGUGUAGCAGUGAAAUGCGUAGAUAUGCGGAGGAACACCGAUGGCGAAGGCAAUCCCCUGGGCCUGCACUGACGCUCAUGCACGAAAGCGUGGGGAGCAAACAGG